CAUAGCAAAUCUUAAUUUCACUGGGGUGUUUGUAAGCUUUUUUAAGCCUUCGACAGCUUCAUCAAUAGCCGCUUUAUCUACUAGGGGUUUUUCAAGGGAAGGGCAGCCAAGCCCUUUCCAUAAUUUCCAAUUACCCUCAAUAUGUAUAAUUUCUUUAAUGGUUCUUUGCACAGAACCACACCGGGCAGUAUGUAAGAAACUAUAUGCUUCUUUGGAUAAUUCAUUUAACUUUGAGGUCUACAUAUUAGCAAUCAAUAAAAUCAGUUUUUUUCGAGUCUAAAAAAGAACAUACAUCUUCGUCAGACAAAAUAACAAUGGGAAUUACCGCCUUAUUUGUCCAUUUUUCAAGAGUUCUCCUUUCAAUUCGUUCUUUAGAAUGGUCAAGCAAAAAGUCGAAAAUAAUAAUUAAUUGUAAAAUAGCCUGUAACCGGAAAUCUUCAUCUGAAAGUUGGUA